rnacentral:rRNA from 1 species
CCUACGGGAGGCAGCAGUAGGGAAUCUUCGGCAAUGGACGAAAGUCUGACCGAGCAACGCCGCGUGAGUGAAGAAGGCUUUCGGAUCGUAAAACUCUGUUGGUAGAGAAGAACGCUGGUGAGAGUGGAAAGCUCAUCAAGUGACGGUAACUACCCAGAAAGGGACGCCUAACUACGUGCCAGCAGCCGCGGUAAUACGUAGGUGCAGAGCGUUGUCCGGAUUUAUUGGGGGAAAAGCGAGGGCAGGUGGGUUAUUAAGUAUGGUGUAAAAGGCAGUGGCCCAACCAUUGUAUGCAUUGGAAACUGGUAGACUUGAGUGCAGGAGAGGGGAGUGGAAUGCCAGGUGUAGCGGUGAAAUGCGUAGAGAUAUGGAGGAACACCGGUGGCGAAAGCGGCUCUCUGGCCUGUAACUGACACUGAGGCGCGAAAGCGUGGGGAGCAAACAGGAUUAGAUACCCUGGUAGUC